GCACCCGUGGCAUAUGGAGGUUCCCAGGCUAGGGGUUGAGUAGGAGCUGUAGCUGCUGGCCUAUGCCACAGCCACAGCAACGCCGGAUUUGAGCUGUGUCUUCAACCUACACCACAGCUCAGUGCAACACCAGAUCCUUAACCCACUGACCGAGGCCUGGGGGAUUGAACCUGCAUCCUCAUGGAUGCUAGUCAGAUUUGUUUCCACUGAGCCACGACAGGAACUCCUAAUAGUCUUUAUUUUUUAGAGCAGAAAUAUUUCGACAGCAAAGUUGAACAGAAGGUACCAAGAUUUCCCAUAUACCCCCAUGCAUACCUAGCCUCUACUAUUAUCAACAUGCCCAACCACAGUGGCACAUUUAUUACAACUGAUAGCAUAUAUUGGCAUGUCAUUAUUACCUGGAGUCCAUAGUUUACCUUAGGAUUCACUCUUAUCGUUGUACAUUCUGUAGGUUUGGACGAAUGUAUAACACCAUUUAGCCACCAUUAUAUAUCAUACAAGUUGUUUCACUGUUUCACUCUGUGCUCUGUCUAUUCAUCCAUUUCUUCCCCUCAGUUCCUGGCAACCACUGAUCUUUUUGCUGUCUCCAUACUUUUGCCUUUUCCAAAAUGUAACUCUGGAAUUACAGUUUCCAGUUGAAAUUACACAGGAUGUCACCAUUUCAGAUUGGCUUCUUUCACUUAGUACUAUGCAUUUAAGUUUCUUCCAUGUCUUUUCAUGGCUUGACAGCUCAUUUCUUUUAUCUCUGAAUACUAUUCUAUUGUCUGGUUCACCAUUCACCAUGUGUGCAUUUACCUGUGAGUACCUUCAUUGCUUCCAAGUUUUGGCAAUUAUGAAUAAAGCUUCUGUAAACAUCCAUGUGGAGGUUUUUGUGUGGACAUGUUUUCACCUCUUUGGAGUAAAAACCAAGGUGUGUGAUUGCUGGAUUGUAUGGUAAGAGUACAUUUAGUUGUGUAAGAGACUGCCAAAGUGUCUUCCAUUAAGUAGCUCUAAGGUUUUGCAUUCCUAUUGGCAAUGCAUGAGCAUUCCUGUUGCUCUACAUCCUUUCCAACAGUUGGUGUUGUCAAUGCUUUGGAUUUGGGCCAUUUAAAUAGGUAUGCAGUGGGAUUUCACUAUUUUCAUUUGCAUUUCCCUGAUGGCAUAUGUUGUGGAAUAUCUUUUCAUAUGCUUACUUACCAUCUGUAUAUCUUCUUUGGUGAGGAGAAAUGGGACAUUUUGAAUGCUUGUAUAGCUAUUCCUUUGUUAACAGCGUUAGCCUAAGCUAAAUUUUAGCUAUGAUAUACAUACAUAUUGGUGACACACAGACCCCACCUGCUCACAGUAUCAAUUGCUAAAACCCAGAUUCUGGUGUCAGACAUACCUAGGACUAAGUCUGGCUCUUCCUCUUCCACUUCCACUUGGACACUGGACAAAUUGUUUAACUUUGUAGUCAUCAGUUUAUAUAUCUGUAAAUUGGGGAUAAUACCUCACAAACUGGAUGUGAGAGUUUGAUAAGAUUAUGUGGAAAAGGCAUAGUUCCUGGCACAUAGUAUGUGCUGUGAAAGUUCAUUUAAAAGAGAAUUAUUCUUGGAGUUUCCUUUGUGGCUCAGUGGUGGGCAAAUGUGACUAGGAUCCAUGCGGAUGCAGGCUCGAACCAUGGUCUUGCUCAGUGUGUUAAGGAUCCAGCAUUGCAUGAGCUGUGGUGUAGGUCACAGAUGCAGCUCAGAUCUGCUUUCCUGUGGCUCUGGUAUAGGCUGACAGCUACAAGUCUGAUUUGACACCUAGCCUGGGAACUCCUACGCCCUGGGUGUGGCCCUAAAAAGCAAAAAACGCAAAACAAACAAAAAAUAAUAAAAGAGUUAUUCUCUUUUUAAAAAUGUAACAAGCGAAGUUUCAAUCAUCAAAGAGUUCUUUUCAGAAAUUACUUAUUUUAAUUCUUCACUCCUAAGAACAAUUUGGAGAACAUCAAACAAAAGGGCAUAAUAGUAUGAAACAUAGGAAUAUUUAUUGAAAAUGUAGUGUUGAAGGAUCUUUUGACCUAACCUACAAUUUACAUUGCAUGAUUUUUAAGUUGUAUAGGAAUAUUAAUAAGUACUAUUUGAAAUCUUCAAAAAGGACCAAAGGUAAACCUCUCUGGAGGCACAUGUUGCUGGGUCAAAAGGAUGAGGGCAUUUCAGUGAAUCUUAACACAACUGUAUUUAUCAAAGGGAAAGAAUGAUCACACAAAUAUAUAGAUGUUUCUAAAUGCACUAAGAACUGUUGAAAGUUUUGAAUGUGUUUUCUUUUCAGGGCAGCACCUGGGGCAUAUGGAAGUUUCCAGGCUAAGGGGUCAAAUCAGAGCUAUAGCUGCUGGCCUAUACCACAGCCACAGAAAAUGCCAAAUCUGAGCUGCGUCUGCAACCUACACCACAGCUCACAGCAAUGCCGAAUUCUUAACUCACUGAGCAAGGCCAGGGAUCUAACCCACAUCUUCAUGGAUACUAGCUGGAUUCAUUACUGCUGAGCCACAAUGCAAAGUCCUGAAAUUGAUGGCAUUUAUGACUUGAACCCAGCAUAAACCCAGAUUGGGACUUGAACCCAAAGUUUUUAAAUAAGAAUAACUCACUCGUGGUGUCUGGGUGUCUGGACUUACCGAGGUUCAGGUUCUUUGUGCCUCAGUGCAGAAGGAAUUCAAUGAGAGACAAAGCAAUAGGCAAGAAAUAGUUUUUUUUUUUUUUUUUUUUUUUUCUUUUCAGGGCUACACCUGCAGCAUAUGGAAGCUCCCAGGCUAGGGGUCGAAUCAGAGCUACAGCUACUGACCUACGCCACAGCAACAUGGGAUCUGAGACUCAUCUGCAACCUACACCACAGCUUAUGGCAACGCUGGAUCCCUGUCCCACUGAGCAAGACCAGGGAUUGAACUCACAUCCUUACAGAUACUAGUUGAAUUGUUUUCACUGUGCUACAGUGGGAACUCCAGAAAUAGAUUAAUUAAGAUAAGACACUUCUAAGAGAUGCAAGCAGGCUGACAAGGAAGCUCUGCCCAGAGGAUUAGGUGGGCUACAGUUUUAUAAUCCAAGGGGAGUGGGGGUGGAUAAAAUUGCCUCCUCUUCUUUGAGUAGUAGCUCCUUCUUGGUAUCUGGUAAGAGGGUAAUUGACUAUAAGAUCAAAUCAGGACUGUCAUGGUGUUUGUUCAAAUCAGCAUGAGGGUGGUCCUUAAACUCUGUCCUUGGUCUGAACCUGAAUGUAGGCCUCACCCUAUCCUCCACCCAAUGACCUGAGGCAUAUCUCGCACCUCCACUAGUCAAACAUGCCUGCCUGUUCUGAUGGCACUUUUGAGCAAUUAUUAACGUACAGUGAUCUCCCAAAGUCCCCUAGGUUUCCUCUCAUCUAUGGUCCAUUAUUGGGACUUCUACAACUACUCGUGUAACUAUCCUACUCCAUCCCUAUCACUUUCAACAUCAUCUGCAGAGCCCUGGAUUCUAGCCAUAUUAGCUUUUUGCCAUGACCCUUCUUCACUAAUCUGAACCCCACAUAUCUGGGAAAAUUCUCAACCAAUCUUUUGAGAUACCUCCUGGAAGCCUUAGCUGAUAAAUUCCUCUUAUACUCUUGGUAUAAUUCUGCAUAUACCUUGUAAAUGCUUCUAUCAUAGCAGUAAUAAUAAUAGCUACUAAAGUAUUGCAGACUUAGUAUGUGCCAGCCAUUGCAUUUAGGAUUUCAUAUAUUUUCUCAUUAUUCCUUGUAAUAACUCUUUAAGAGCAACUUGAAAUUAACGCUAGACCAGUCCAUUUUGGAUAGUUAUAAUCUUGUAAAGAACACUGAGCUAUUCUUUGGAGUGUAGAAAGAAAGAAUGGUUGAGCCAAAACUAGAUACCUCUGUAGAAAGAUUUAAGGGAAUAUAACUAAUACAAACAGGAAUAAGGUGCAGUGCCUGGCCAUGAAAAGCUCUCAUUCUAGGAGGAGAUCCAGACAAAUAAACUGUUUGGAGCAUAAAAAUUGCCAUUUUUGAGACCAAGCUGAUCAAAUAUAAAUAAUUCGUAUGAUUGGGAUACAUAUUAUAUAAUAACUCAGGAUACAAAAGCCAUCUGAAUGCUUGUUUUAGGAAUUUAAUGAAAGAAUGAGAAAUACUUCUAUAGUUCAUGAUGAAAUUUCUGUUUUACAAGUGUACAUGAGAAUUCCCUGGUGGCCUGGCCAUUAAGGAUUUGAUGUUGUCACUGCUGUGGUUCUGGUUCCAUCCCUAGCCCAGGAACUUCCACAUGCCACAG
rnacentral:lncRNA from 1 species